rnacentral:ncRNA from 2 species
UACCUUUGCAUCAGAUUUGGUGAUGUAAGUACUUUCCGUAUUUGCAUAAAAGGGAAUUCGGUCAUAGAAUCCGAAGCAGUGCCCGCUACUGUGAAACCCGUCAAUGAAAAGCAACUCUCGCCAUGCCACUGUUUCCUUUGUAAGAAAUGGGAAGGCGCUUUUCAGGGUGAAGCCAGGAAACCUGCCAGGUCUGAACAUAGAUA